UCCCUUGUCAGCCAUUUUCUUUCAAACUCAUUUAAUUUCACUAUUGAUGAUUACUAUUUCUUGAUGUAUACAGUAAUUAUCAUCCAUUUGCGCUACUUACGCUAGCCAAAUAUGUAUGUAUGUACGAUGCUCUGGAGUAGUGCCCUCAUCGGCAGAGUACGACCUGAUACUUAAGAAACCCUUCCGGCUGAUCACGCCCCACAGUCAAGACCUUACAUUCGUGGAGAGGAGUUUCAAUAUUUGGGAAGAAGUCAGUGAUUCAGUUGACGUCGAGAUUCGCGGGCGAUUAGGAGAAGAAAAUGAUUCAGCAACUUUAUCAUAUUAACUUUUCACUCAAGGAAAAUGGAAACUGUUCGAGGUCCAAUGUUUGGAAAAAAAGUCAGUGUCCCGGUUCACGUCGAGAUACGCGGGCGAUUUGGAGCAGAAAUUUGAUCUCGAAGUUUAUCAUUUUAACUCUUAGCGCAAGGAGGACGGAGAAAGUUUAUUUUCAGGGGCGUUACACCCACAACAAAACGGCAGUCGACGUUAAGCCCACAGAAAAUAUUUUUCCCGCGAUCCAAAUUAAUUAAGACCUGCUUUUUUGGCUGGCUCUUGUCUUCACCACGCGGAUUAACGUCCAAAACCCGGGGUAGCAUACCCACGACGGCCAAAGAUGGCGUUGUCGUACGGACUCGGACUAGGGCCUUUGCGUGCAAGCGGCCAAGGUCACCCCACACAAUCAAAAUGAUCAAGUUAAACGAUUUCAAGCGUCGAUGUUGAGGGUUGCCCAGAAUUUUAAUGUCACUUUCUACCUUCCACGAGCUUGUACUUUUGUAGAGUGCUGAAAAAUCUAACUGCAUUAAACUAACAAUGGAACCUUUUUUCAAGCUACAUGGGGAUCAACUAGCGAGUUAUGUCAAAAAAUCAAGCCAAAAAUUAGGAGUCACAUGACACUUAUAUUUCCGUUGAAUGGCUCCUUUGAAGAAAAAUAUUGAGGGUCAAAGUUCGAACUUUUCCCUGGUUUUUGUCCCGUGGAGGAAAAACCAAGGGAAAAUCUGCUAAAAAAUUGAACUUAACUGCCAAUAUUUUUCUUCAAAGGGGCCAUUCAAUGGAAAGAGAAGUGUCACGUGACUCAUAACUUUUGGCUUGAUUUUUUGAUAUAACUCGCUAGUCGAUCCAGGUGUAGCUUGAAAAAAGGUUCCAUUGUAAGCAAAAUUUGAAAUGUAUAUACCUACAUAUAUGUAGUUAUUAGCCAAUUAUUGAUAGAUAGGUACGUUCCGUGCAUAUGCCUAAAUACAUUUAUAACGCUAUAAAUCUUCUCUUCGAUCGAUCACAUCCCCCACGACUCCUGUCUAGGUACCGUUGUUCAGUGAAGUACUACUAUCUCAUCUCAACAAAGAAACCACUUGAUAACUCAAACGAAAAAAAUCGAAAUUUUACGUAACAAGGUGAACUUAUGGAAUUGUGUAGUUUUACAAUAGAAUUGUUUUCAAGCUACACAGACCAGGAUUUUCUAGCGAAUUAUAGCCAAAAAUCGAGUCAAAAAUGGAGAAUCACAUGGCACUUAUGUUUCUUUUGAAUGACCCCUUUGGAGAAAAAUAUUAACGCUAAGGCAGAAUUAUCUUUCGCUUUUUCCUCCACGUGGCGAAAUCCAAGACGCACGUGGGAACUUUGUCGCCCAAUUUUUUUCUUCAAAGGGGAAGACAAGUGCCAUGAGAGUCCUACACUUUUAAAAACCCGGUGUUCAUAUCGUCACCGAAAUGUGUACAUACUUAUUUACAUAUAUCUAUGACUUCACUGCGCGGUGAUAUCGUUUCUCAAUUAAUGGCGAGAAAAAUACUGAUAAUACCAGCCAUAUGGCAUCAUACCGGAAAGAUUUGUCACUAUGCGAUAAAAACAUUAUAACCAUUUGGUGAAGUCACAUAUGCACACCACCCUUUGACGAUUAACACCGGGUUUUUACUAGUGUAAUUUUUGGCUUGAUUUUUUAAUAUAUGUAACUCGCCAGACAAUACACACAGCUUGAAAAAAGGUCCAAUUCUCAGAUAUAGGCCCCAUAUUAUACAUAAAGUGAACGAGUUAUGUACUGUGCGGGUGGAGCUUAAACCUACGGCCUCCUGAAGUACCUUGUGCUGAGACUAGGGUUUCUCGUGAGUUUAGCUCCAUUCGCACAGCACAUAACUAACUCACUUCAAGUAUAAUAGCUUCAUACGGUCCUAGGUCAAUUUACAUAACGUACUUUUGCAUAACGGUCAUAUUGCCUAAUUUUUAUUGCAUAAAAGUCAUUUUACAUAAUAAGCCUUAUCACAUAAAUAUAUAUUGCAUAAUUGUUUCGAAAUAAAGAUUAAGAUGAAAUUGGACAUGGGGAAACUUCCUGAACGGCGUAAAGUAAAUACUUAAUUCGAAAUAAACAAUUCUAAAUCUGCAGAGAAAAGAUUCUAAUUUCAUAAUUUCUGCAAACUUCGUUUUCAGGGUUUCCUAACCCUGGUGGUGUUGUAACGCACCUUUAAAAUUGCAUUUCUCGCCAUAUAGUUAGCCGAGCACUACAUCCUCAAUACCGUCUGUUGCAAGUUUAGCAGGCAAUGGAACCCUUUGAGUUAUUUUUUACGCAGAACUAUAGUAGAGUUGUACGAGGCGAGGGAAGGUACACCGUAUUAAAGUACCACUUCAUAUUAAAAUUGUACCGAACCGUAAAAAUUUGCUACCUAUAUAGUAAAACUUUAAUACGGAGCUAUUACUACAACGUAUUACUAUUCUGUAAUCACUACUACCUUUGUAGCGUAGAGUCAUUUUAGUGAAUGAAUACCACUUGGUAGUAUUUUAAUGCUGGAUUUCUGAGAGUAUAACCAUCUCACAUUGGUAAUAAUUAUGCAAUAUGUAAUUAUGCAAAAUCUGGAUUUACAUAAUUGAUAACUAUGUAAAAUGGCCAUUAUGUAAAAUGGUAGUUAUGCAGCAGAAAUUAUGUAAAGUGACCGAAGGCUCUUCAUACAUAUGUCUAAUGUAUAAGACAUAUUUACUUAUAUAUUCCCGAAAAAUACUUUGUGGUGUUGGCAGUUCUCUAUAAUUAGAUUGUCCGUUACAAUUUCAAAUCUGUAACAUUUUUCUUGAACGCCGUCACGAAUAUGUAUUUCGUGAAGCGAUUUUUGAAGUCAACGAUCUCCUGUUUUUGUUACUAUUUAUGUACAUACUUUUGUGCUCCAAUACUGUACUUUCCAAAAAAUCCACUGUGUCCAAACGAUAUGUAAUUGUUUGCUGGACACGUGAGAAAGUAGAAAGUCAGCCAGGCAAAUUUAUAAAAGUUGUAGUUAUGACAGACUUCCAAUCAAAAUUUGAUAUAAAUCAGACAAAAUCCAAUUAAAUGUCAAAUGCAAAAAGUCAAAUGAUAAGCUCCAAUGAAUAAAAACGUGCAUUUACGCAUAUUUCGUUUCAAGCGAGACGAUUUCGAAUCAGAUAAAAUUGAACGUUUGGACCUGAAUUUCAUUAAAAUAUACACGUAAAAG